GUCACUCACGGGCACGGCCAUGAGGCGGUCCUCUCCCGCGCCGGCCUCGCCGGGGCUGGCAGAGCUGCAAGCCAGUGACCUUGUUGUUCUGCCCUGAGGAGCAUCUGCUGAUUGUGAUCAGGUGGUGCUUAGCCAAAGUGGCUUGUGGCUGCAGUGAGUGUUGUGUGAGUCUCUUCAUGGAUUAGAUCAGCUGACAGAAACAAGGAACCCAGGUGGAAACCAGGAGGUGACUUUGCAAUAAUGAGGUGCCUCACUCCCUCACUGCUCAGGAGAUUUUGGGGGCUUUUGCCUCAGUAUUUGUCAGUAGGACCUAGUCAGAGUCCUAACCUCAGUCCCAAGCAGUCAUCUUUGAGGCAGAGCUGCAGUGCAAGACCCGGGCUGUUGACUGCCCCUGAUGUGGUCAGCUACUGGCAAAAGGUGUUUGAGAAGAAUGGGAUCCCUGAAGCACGAGAAUCCAGUGAAUACAUCGUGUCGUUUGUCUUGGGAGCAAAAACAUUUCAGAGCUUGGACUCCGAAAAACUCCGCGCUCCACUAACAGCAGUGCAGCAGGAGCAGAUCCAGCAGCUGAGCUGCAAGCGACUGGAAAGAAUGCCAGUGCAGUACGUGCUUGGUGAGUGGGACUUUCAGAACCUGACUCUGAAGAUGAGACCUCCAGUAUUUAUUCCUCGUCCUGAAACAGAGGAUCUCAUCUCUUUGGUUGUGGAGGAAGAAUCUCGGAAAUGUGAGGUGAAGAAUUCAGCCUUCUCAGUUGCUGUCCCACCUCCUGUGAUCCUGGAGAUUGGCUGUGGCUCUGGAGCAAUUGCUCUGAGUCUCCUGUGCAAGAUACCACAGAGCAGAGUGUUAGCUGUGGAUAAAGAAGAGGCUGCUGUGGAUCUCACCAGGGAGAAUGUACAUAGGCUGCAACUCCAAGGCAGGAUCCAUGUCCUCCACCAUAAUGUUUCAUAUGGUUCUGCCAAACAUCUGCUACCUUGGGGCCCAAUGGACUUCAUAGUCAGUAACCCUCCAUACGUCUUCCAUGAAGACAUGGCUUCCCUGGAUGCAGAGAUCCUCCGCUACGAGGACCUUGAUGCACUGGAUGGGGGAGAUGACGGGAUGAGAGUCAUUAAAACAAUUCUGACUCUGGCUCCUACUCUUCUGAAGGAUUCUGGGAGUGUGUUUCUGGAAGUUGAUCCCAGACACCCAGCUAUGGUGGAGGAUUGGCUAACUGCACAGCCUGACUUGUUCCUCACCCUUCGUGCUGUUCACAAGGACUUCUGUGGCAAACCUAGGUUUCUGCACAUCCAAAAGCAAAGCAGAUGACAACUGUACCAGAAACAACGUCCUUUCUUGCAGUAAGCUUUUUUGCUGGUAAGGCUCUGAAAUGUGAGACUUUACAAAGAAGGCCAGAAUCACUGCUCCAGUUUCAGAGAUGGAGAAGUCAAAAAGGUGAGGGAAAAAGAGUUAUACAGAAUUUGACAGCAGGCUAAGUUUAAAGUAAGACCCAGUCUCUUGGCACCCACAGGAACAGCUUAAGUCCAUUUCUUUGUUGGGGAAGGGCAACUUAGAAUAGGGCUGUCUGAAACAACACUGAGAAAAGUCCCUGAAAUUGAUGGUCAAGAUCGUGACAUAAGUACCAGAAGGAUUAAAUCCAAGCUGCUGGUGCUCAUUGCUGUUUCUGAUGUUGCAAGUUCUCUUCUUGACCACAGCUAAACAGAGAAGGAAAAAAAAGAAAGACACCAAAGGACCUGGACCAGUCCGAAUGGAAGCAUUAGCUGGACCACUGGAGCUGGAAAGAUACACUGAGACAUAAAACCAGGAGGGCUUUACAUCAAGUUUGUUUUCCAAGAAAGAGCCUCCCCAUGCUGCAGGAUGCAGCGUGUUCUGUGGCCUUGGGAUGCACAGAGCUGAAACUCCUCCGCAGCAAGCAAUCAGCUGCAGCCAGACCCCUCCUGCCUUGUGUCCAUGUGAGUAGCCCCUGCUCUGUGCCACCAGAGAGCUGCAGGAUCCUGUGGCUGGCUUGGCUUGCCAACCUGAGCUCUGUUUGAGCAGUAGGGUCACAUCUGUAGGGUGACGAUUAAUCAGGGAAGCAAGGGAAGGCAAAGCGCCUGAGCACAGCAAGGCUUGUAGGACUUGUAAAGAUGAGGAAACCUCUGCUAUCUUUUUGAGGUUGAUAGCCUCCAUGAGAGCAGACAGCAAGACUCUCUGCUGGCUCAGGAAGCCUUGCUGUGCACAGAACCUUCGUGGUGCCCAGGAGGGCACGGUGUGCAGCAACACUGCCGCAACAAAGCACUCACUGAACCUGGGAGCAAGCACACAGCUUGUCUUGGUGUGCCAGCGACUGCAGCUCUGAGGAGGAGGGGGCUGUUCUUCACUUUGUUCGAGAAGUUUGACCUCUUAGGGCCACAAGGAAGGGGAAGGUGCAAGCCAGAGCCUGAUUCCAAAAGCAGCGUGCUUUCUUUUUCAUGCUUCAACAGCGGUUCUUACCUUUAGGAUGGUAGCAGGUCCUGGUUCCCUCUGAGCUCCUGCAAGGAUAGGAGCUGCUGCCACACCCAGGAGCAAGUGCUUUUCUGUUUCCUUCUUGAGGAAGAAACAAGGUGUCCUGGCAUUCAGAAUGCAUUGUCCAUUGCCUAUGUCAUACAGAAGGCUGCAAGGCAGUCAUCCAUACCCACCAGUCAGGAGCUCUGCCUGCAGAAGCAGGCAGCAAAGAGGGAUCUGCUGAAAAUACGUGCAACUGCCAUGGUGAAAAGAGUAGAAAGAAUGUUAAAGUAAACUUCUGAUUAACUGAACAAGUGGAUCAAGCCCUUUGCCUCUGGUCUUUGACAAAAAGGUAGAAUAAAUUUGGUGGAGACAUGGUAUAUAAGCCUAGGCACCUGGAAGGCACUGGAUCCUCCAGUAGAGCAAUCUGGGCACUGAGACAGGUGCGAGUCAGAGCCAGGCUGGAUGUGCCUUACUUUCACCAUUUAGCCCCGAGGAAGUUCCUGUUCUCAAAAGUUCAGUUGGAUGUCAACUUCCAGCUGAGUCAAUGUAAGUAACAAAGGCUGCAUAGGGAUUGCUCUUCUGCUCAUCAGCCUUGUGCAGAAUUAGUUAAAAAUUUAAAAAAUGUGAAUCAUUUUUCCUGAGAGAAUAUGUUCCCAAAGAAUAGGAUAACCUAUUUUUUUGCUUUCUUUGAAAUAAUUUUGGUGGUGUGAAGGGAGCUGCAGUGGUGGGCAGGCCAAGGUAGUCUCAUCCUGGGCCAGUGAACUUCACUCAAGGUAAGUCACUCCUGUGCUUGGCUGUCAUUGUGCAAUCUGAGCCAUGUGAUAACAGUGUGAAACAUGCAGUGUUGGGGGUGAGAAUGACUCUGCAGUCAUGCUCUUUAAUGCCUUUUCUAUUCUGAUGGGCUCAGCAGUACCUCGGGUUACUUACUGGCUGAAGGCUUGGGGCAAGCUGUGGCUGGGGGAGGUUGCUUAGUAUUUCUGGUGUGAUGUGGUGGGUAUACAGUUCCUGCCCCAGUCCUGGCACUGAGUGGGAGCUGGCUGGAAGGAGACUCUAAGGAGCGCCCUAAAAAUACCAGAGCGUCAUGCAGGGAAGGAGGGUGGGGAUGCCCAGGACUCUCUCAUCCCCUUAAGCUGUGUGCUGGAGGACUUGGCAACAGCUGCUGUCUCUUGCUUUGUUGUGUGUCUUAUGUUUUUCAUAGUGGUUUUAGUGAACAUGCUUCGAGUUUUUUUCUUGUUGGCGUGACAGUGAAGUAAAGAGACGUGGAUAAAGUGCAGCUGUUCCUUUCAAAGCAUGUGUCUGUGCACAGGAGAGCACAGCAGAGCGUGACAAGUUCUAGGAAGUACUGUUGCUAUAGUGUAACUUCUGUUGAACAGCAGUUGAUUGUGUUCAGCUGGCUGAGGAGACAGCCGUGAGCAUCAAGUAGCAAAAAAAAGCCAAUCCUAAAAAAACAAUCCGAGUGAAAGCUAAUUGUUUCCCCCAAAAUUUGACCAUAUGGAUGUGUUUGGCUGGAAGUGUUUAUUGUUGUUCUUUAUUUAUUAUUGUUGUUGUUAUUUUUGCUGAGAAAACCAUCUACAUUCCGUGAGUCUUUUAGUGAAUGUUUCCCCUUGAUUUCUCAAAAAGCUCUCGGUUUUUAACAAAUUCUGUGUGCAUGUGUGUAGGUUAAAGAAAAAACAUAGCGUGUUCAUUUGAGGAUGUCGUUUAUACAUUUAAGCUGUAAUAGCCAGGCAGUCUUGAGUAGCUUGUAGCUUGUAAAAGUGACAUAAACAUCUCAUGAUCAGAAGUUAAGAGGCUUCAGCUCUUGAGACUGCAGAACUCCAUGUGACCUGGAUGGAUCUGUGCAUGACAAGCUGAAGAAAUGGGCCUUCUGGCUUUAGGUGAGUUCUCAGGGUUGGCUAGUGAGUGCUCCGUGAGGGGUCCCCCUCCUCUCGGAAGUUAGACAUUUCAGGUUAAAGCUUAAGUGACAUUAACUAAUUUUAAGAGAAGAAAGGACUGUUGCUAUCUUUGCUAAUUGCCAGAAGUACAGCCAGAGCAGAAAUAGUCACAUCUCCUAAAGGCUACGUGCUGCAGCUCAGUAAGUUCCCAUCAAACCCACCUUUUCUCAUAGAUGGCUUUUUCUUCCUUGACUUCUCCUUUCUGAAGGCUUGGUUAAGUGAGAGACUAUGCAGCUCAACUGUCCAGACCUGGUUUCUCAGAAGAGAACAGGACAUGCUCCAGAAAGAAGGGCAAAAGCUCUUCGGUUUCCUCAGAGAGGUUUUCCAUUGCCAGCCACGUGUUCACUCCACCUCCUCCAUGACUGCUUGCAAACUGCAAAGCCCAAGUUCCCUCUGCACAGAAAGGAGCCUAAUGUGGCAUUGAAGCCAGUUGCCUUUCCCCUGGACGAAGGGUCAGGGAUCCAGCAAAAGUUCUCCCCACUGGGGACUGGUUUUUGCUCUGGGCAAUAGCACAGGAUCCCCUGGUCACUGUCAGUAGCGUUUCAUUCCUGGAGACCUCUGUGAUCUGCAAGUGCCCCAUGGCAGGUGAGGGGAAAGGGAACACACCUUGUGAUGUUAUGGUGAGUCAAAGAAGUGGUGAAAACAGCCCUUCAGGUUUUUCACGAUGAUAGCACUGGGUCAUAUCCUGGAUCAGCCAGCUGACCUGACCUCAAUGGUGGUUGCCUGCUAAGCCCAGGCUGUCUUCAGAGCCUCAGAGCUGGGGGUGCUGGCUGUUUUAAGGCUUUGGCACAGAGUUGCUUGUUUUAUCCUAGGUAAGAGAGGUUGAGACACAGACAAAGGCAUUCAUCAUGGUGUUUUUGUUGCAUAGUGAUUUCUGAUAGCCAAAAACAGCCCUGAGUAGAGUACCGUUGUUUCACAUAUGGCAAGAAAAGCAUAUAGCUUUCUCCAAGGACGCUGGUGUUGCCUCAGGUUACCCAACUCCAAGUCACCCUGCUGCAGAGCACUGCAUAUGGGACUGUACAUGGAAAUCACUGCUAAACUGGAGGCAAUACAAAAUAAGAGGUGCUUGUUUAGCAGCGUGUCAUGGAGACAUGUAGCAACAUUUUCUCAGAAGUCACGUUGUCUUAAGUAGUAUCAAAGGGGAAUUCAGCCUGUGGUUAUAACCUGUGCCAGGGGUUCCCAGGUUUGUGUUGCACUGACAGCAGCAAUAGCAACUGUGGGCAUAGGCAACAGUCUUUGUUAUCAUUGCUGGAGUCAAGAGUGGAUCGUGAGACAGUGGUCACUGCAAAUAUGCUGUUUCAUGUGUAUAGGAAGGCAUGCCUCUAAUUUCUCCUGUGUACCCUCUGGUCAUGUGCUUUCAUAAUCAUCAAGCUACCAUAGCCUGUUUUGGUCCCCAGUCCAAAACAGGACCCUUGUUCCCUGUUCCAAGUCAAGACCCACACUUCACUCUUGCACUUACUGAACCCCAUCUCCAUCAACACUCCCUGUGCUCAUGGAGAUGUUGGCAUCAGGGCUGGGGCAGUUCUUCCUUCAGUGACUUCAGUACCACAGCUUAGGUGCUCAUAAACACAUUAAGAUCUCUGCACUUUGGGAGAGCGCUUCUUUCCCUACAAUGGCUGAUCCAGCAGACAGCUGUUCCCUGAAAAAAAUAAUAAUAUAAAAAGAAGCUGAGGGUUUUACACAGACCCUUUGAGAUAAGAUUAACUCAGGAGACCAGUCCAUUGCUGAGAGGCACUAACCGCUGAGUGCCAGACAUGUACUCUUUGUGGACUGCACUGAGUUAGUAAAGAGUUAAUCGAUGAAGUAUCAAAACAGUCCAGGUUUGGGUGAAAUGUCGUAUGUAUAUGGAAAAGACAGUAUAUGGAAAAGCAGCUUGACUGGGACUAUGCAGGUGAGCUGACCCCAGAAUUGAAGUAGAGCAGUGGGCAGACACUAAUGUGGACGUAACAGCUCUUACAGCUUGCUUGUGUCUAACGAAGCUAAGGACAGUUUCAGUGAGGGCGUUUAAAUAUUUUCAGAAAAUACAGAAAAGCGAUUACAUUUUAAACAGGAAGGUCCCAUUCCCUUGUGCCAGAACAAGACCAGAUCUUUCCAGAUGAUCUGCAUCAGAAGUGUGGUCUCUUGGCAGCUGCUGGUGCACAGGUGACCAGGCUUGAGGACAGUACUCGAGUGAAGAGCUGUGUGCUGCAAUGCAGGCUCCUCGGAAAAACACUUGCAGCUUCACAGUGCCAUAGGAUGAACAUCUUGGGUAUUUUUGUGAUAGAGUAAUCCUUACCUACUCUUCCUGAAGGUGCUCAUGGUGCACGAUGCUCAACAGUCCUACUUCCAAAGAUGGAGUAGUGGAAUAUUCUUCCCAACUUUCUUUCUCGUCCUUGUAAGUUUACCUUUGUUAAUGAAGGCAACCAAGCCAGAGAAAAGCAAUGUUCUAGUGACUGGAGGGUAAAUGGCAACCCAAAGGAAUGUGAAGAUCUGAACUGAAGCCUAACAGAUAAAGGGUAUAUGUGCUGUGGGGUGUGCUGUGUAUGCGAGUUAAUAAACACAGCUUCCGCAGUACAUAACUACUUGCAGAGGGAAUCGGAUGCUGAAUCUUCUGCUGUACUUAACUGUGGUGAAUUAAAGCAUCGGGGGAAAGUCCCACCUCCGGGCAUUGUGGUUUUGGUAGUUUAGAGUCAGACUACAGUGUCACCAAACAUGGCCUCAUUUCUCCACUUACAUCAUUAGUUUAAAAGAAAAAAACAACAACCAUACGACGAAAUUCCCACAAAGCCCCUUGAAAAUAGUUACUGAUUCAGUUAACAACAGUUGUAUGAUUCCAUAUGAUUGCCUAGAUUGCCUGUGAGCGUGGCCUGCCAUCUGGAAGCCAAGGAAGCCAGAAGGACACCAGGGAGCCCGAGGCAUAUUCUGUGAUCUUUGCUGUAUUCUUUAGGACUCGUCUUUGGGAAUUCUUGUGUGAAAAUGGCAAGACAGGAGAGACAGGACUGGGGAAAGCAGAAAAGUCCAUGUCCCAGCUCGAGGUAGGCCUUCAGAAGAAUCUCUUCUUUGACUAUGCGUAAUGAAUUUUUCUUCGUUUUUCACUUGGAAGCCUUGGGUACUGUCAGAUGUGGGUGAGGAGCUGCCUGGAUCCUAGCAUUUCUCAUAUUGGGCAAAUUGAGAGAGCUUAGCCAGUAAUUUGCCCAGUGAGACUCCAAACUCAGUUUCUCUCCGCCUGUUCCUACCGUUCUCCACUACCAGAAAAUGAAGUUCUUCAGGGAAUAACCAUGACAAAUCACUUCCUGCUGUGACGCAGGGAGAUCUGGGUUUCUGAGAAUACCUUGUGCCUCUGAAAGGAACGGGCCUGAAGCAAGAGGUGUAGGCAGAAUGCAUCUGGGCUGGGGCCAGAAGUGUUCCCAUGGUGAGAGCUGUGACAGCCACGGUUUGCUGGGCCCAGAGGUCUGACUUCAGCUGGGUGCAGGAAUGAAUCCCUUGUGGUUGGGGCUCCGCCUGGUUUUGGUUUUGUCCAGGGAAGUUUAUUCAGGUGCCAGGAGGGAGCAAUUUGACCAAGCACUGAAAGCAGCAAUUCCUUAUAGGGUGGCCUAUCUAGGCCUGAUCCUAGAAGCUAAAGAACUGUUCGUUACGCUUUGUUGUUUGUCUGACUCUUCUCCAUUGGCAGUGAAGGAUUUGAGAGCUGGUUUGGAAGCUGGUGGUAUCUGCACGAGGGCCACCUUCAUUAAAGAAAAUCUAAGCAAAAAGAAGGUUUUUCCAACUAGUAAUGUAACAUAAUUAAUCCAAAGCUAAAGGACUUUUUGUCUGGAGUUUGGUGAGUGUUUUACAUGACUGCUAGAAUCAGGCAUUCUUCAAGAACAGAGCAUUGUUUGGAAAAGAACUGUGACUGUGCCCUCAGGAAAGGGGCAUCUUCAUAAAAGCUGGUCUUUGUUCAGUGGUGAAGACAGCAUUAGGAGCAAAAAAAGCAAAAGCAGCAUGGAAGGGGAGGGAGAAUGGGUAGCAGUUAAUAUAAAUUAGAAAUGAAGUGCAGAAAACUGGAAAUAAAAAGGGAAAUGUAAAAUUAUCCUCGGCUGCUAUCUUCAAGGACAUUAAAGAAUUUAAACAAUCCGCUUGAAACAGAAAAUUGUACAAGGCCUCUUUGAAAUGGAAAUGGUGCAAUUGUUAAUGAAGAUGAAAAUGAGUAGAAGCAUUUAGCAAGUAUUUCUGAUCUGUGCUUGGAUGACAGCAGAAUAAUGUACUUGAAUCACAGGAGGACAAUGCAUUAAUUUCUAAAUUAUUAGGCCAUCAGGAAAAGGUAUUAUAAAACACUGAUGAGGAACAAGUAUUUCAGAAGGAGCCUGUUCAGAUAACUUGCAGGCGAGAGCCCCAGCAGUGGUACUAAGAACACAGGUGGUUUGCAGGUGGCAAUUUUCAAUACUGGGACAUGUAGGACACUGGGCUGCAGUAUGCCAAAAGGGAAUGCGGGUGGCUGGAGCAAAGCCAUCGUGCAGAGAGCUCAGAGUGAAGGGCUUCUUCCCUGGUCCGUGGGUCCAUGUGGGCUUAGGGUCCAGCCCUGUGGAUGGGAGGAUCCCUCGGUGCACCUCCUGGGCUUAGGGCCUCUGGGGGCUGCUCCAGCACAGAGCAAUGCUGCUGCUGUGGUAGGAACUGCUGUGUCGGAGCCUCUGAGGCUGGAAAGAGGCUCUGCAUCCAGAAAGGCCCUGAAGUGCUGCAGGUUUGAGGCGGAAGGGAGCUGGCUGAGAUUUGAAGCCACCAUCCCUCAAAGCAGUGUUGGGUUUGGAUUAACUGCCUAUGGAACGUGCCAGCACGUUGGUUUGCUUGGGUAUUCUGUUCACCCAGGCCUUGAACUCCUGUGUACUUAGGAAUUAAUUUCCUUGGGAAACAUUAUGAAUGGUGAUGACAAUGCUUGUGCUAAUCCCCUUCGUGACUGGCAGGGAAGGGAAUGCAGAGUCUGCACAGCACUGACCCUGCUGUUAAAAGUAGUGCAUUGGGUGCUGAGCCUCCGUGCUCACUGUGACAGCACUCAGCUGCAGGGCUUGAGUGCUCCAGAGGCAGUGUGCCUGUGAGCUGAGGGAGUUUUUCUACCUUUGCACCCCCCUCCAAGUAAGGAGGAUUUAGAAGAUUAAGCAGAGGAAAGACUACAUGCUGGCUGUGCCUCCACUGGGGCACCACUGAGCUGGCUCAUUUUUCCCAGCCCUGGAGCCCCUUGCUGCUGGUUCAUCUGCAGCAGGGAGAAGCCUGCUGGAAGGAGCAGCAUGCCUUUGCGGAGGGAAGAAGACAAGGCUAAGGGUGAGGUACUCAGUUAGUUCUCAUGCUGAUGCAGUGCUGAAUUGCGUGGCAGAAAAUAUUUACCAUCUGCAGUCCUGGGUGGCCCCCAGCUCCCCCGCAGGCUCCAUCUCACAGCUCUACUCUGCCUUCAAGGCAGCCCUGCUGCCCUCGGCUUGAGGGGGCUCACCACGCCGGCAGAAGUGGUAAUUCCACUCCAUUUAUUAAUAUUGGCUUGGUAGGAAGGUAACUUGGCUUUUCUUAAAACAUUGGAGCCACUCGUGUGUUUCCUUGAAUUGUAUUUGAUGUUUAUUUUUCAAAUGCACUUAUGUGUCCAGUGAGUGCUUCGUAAUUUAAGAAUAAAUGAUUUCUUCUCAUUUUAUUUCCAGGAAAUGCUCCUAUCUGUGAAUCGCAGAGAGGCUCUUGGGUUGUUAGGCUGACUUCGAGGUUUCUGCAGUCUUUGCUCUUUGCCAUUAGCAUUAUUAUUAGUCACUGUUUGCUAUGAAUAAGACACUGGGCCCAGUAUGUUUUUUUUUUCCUGCUGUUAAGCUGAUACCUUGAAUAACAAUGUGAAAGCAGUAUUCAUUAUUAGAUUAUUGGAGGAAAUGGAAUUAGAAACGGGAUUCAAAAUGGAGUUAUUAAUAUUAAUGGCAGCUUUAUUAUGCCAUAACGUUUUGUAGAAGCGCACUGAGAAGGUUUUGCACCAUACAGGACAGACUUUCCCUGACGUGGCUUUGUAUAGUUGAUUCUAAAUACCAGGAGCUCAGAGUGAGUAAUUGCUAAUUGGGAGCACAGCACUGCAGGAGGAGCCAGCUGUCCCUUCCCUCCCAGCUGCCUCUCCUCGGGGUGAGUCGCAGCCACAGCGCCUGCCUUAUGCUGCUGUUAGCUGCUACCCAUAUCCUAUUUCUCCCUUUAUUUUCCCCCCUUCCCUGUCCUCUCUUCACCUGCUGCUGCCUACGCUAGCCAGGGAUGAGAAUGCAGCAUGUGGAAGCAGUGCAGGGCUCAGAGUUUUGCCUUGCCUGUCCUGCCCCAGUGGAGAUCCCACAUUAUGCAGGAGAGACGUGCCAAGAGGAGAUGAUGUGGGAAGUAAGCUCAACCUGAAGACUUCCUUGGCAAAAGCCAUUAGGAGGACAUUCCCAGGGCCCUGCUCUGUGCAUGACAGGCUGGUCGUCUGUUCACCGUGAGGUGUGAGCAGGGGAGGUGUGAAUGUACAACUGACCUCUGCAAGAGAUUGCCAAAGCAGUGCAGCUCCAACAUGAAUUUUAGACAGCCUUCCCCCAACUUAGCACUUCAUCAGUGCCUGUGCAGGUCCUGACUGACACUGUGAGGUUUGUGGUGCUGACAUUGUAGAAAUAUGUAGAAACGAAGCUUGCUUUCAUUCACCAUCAGCUGCAAGCUUUGGCAGCUUCUGAAGUAUUACAACACUUCUUCAAUGUCUAUUUCUGCCUACAGAAUAUUUUCUUUGUCAUGUUCCUCUGGCAGUUCUUAGGUUAGAAUGAGGAAAGGGGAUUUUCCUAAUAGUAAUACAAAAACUGGUGACAGUAACUUAUUUUUUUUUUUAAUUUUCUACUCACCCUUACAGUGAAAAAUAGAUUUUAAAAGUAGCUUAAGAAAGUUUUUUAUAUCACGGCGAUCCCCACAAUCGGUACAAGCUGGGGGAUGAAGGGACGGAGCACAGCCCUGCUGAAAAGGACUUGGGGGUGCUGGUGGAUGGCAGCUGGACAUGAGCCAGGAGUGUGCAUUCACAGCCCAGAAAGUCGACCAUACCCUGGGCUGCAUCCAUAGCAGCACGGCCAGCAGGGCAGGGAGCUGAUCCUGCCCCUGUGCUCUGCACUGUGACACCUCACCUGGAGAGCUGUGUCCAGAUGGGGAGUCCUCAGCACGGGACAGAUGUGGGCCUGUUGGAGCACAUCCAGAGGAGGGCCAUGAAAAUGACUCAAGGGAUGGAGCACCUCCCUGUGAGGACAGGCUGAGAGCUGGGGCUGUGCAGAUGGAGAAGAGAAGGCUGCAGGGAGACCCGAGAGCAACCUUCAGUAUCUAAAGGGGCUGUAAGGAAGAAGGGGACAGACCCUUUAGCAGGGUCUGUGGUGAUAGGAGAAGGUGAAAUAGUUUCAAACUAAAGAGGAGAGAUUUAGAUUUGGAUAUAAGGAAACAGUUCUUUACAAUAGGGGCAGUGAAGUACUGGCACAGUUUGCCCAAAGGAGAGGUGGAAGCCCAAUCCCUGGAGGCACAAAGUCUGUCUGGAUGAGGCUCUGAGCACCUGUUGGAGCUGUAGGUGUCCUUGUUUGUUGCAAAGGAGUUGGGCCAAUAAGGAUCCCUUCCAACUCAAAUUGUGCUAAGAUAAGGAGAGGACAGGAAAUGGAGACCACUCAUUUACCUUGUAAGACCCAUCAGCAGUGAAUUUGAAGGAGAGCAGUGCUGUGGGCUCCUGCCUCCUCUCCUUGCUUGGCUGUUUUGUGCUGCCACACUGAUGGUUGCCCAUCGUAUGUGUUUCGCAGUCUGUAUGCUGGAUCUGUCGUUCGGUCACUCCCUUCUAUACCUGUUGAUGGGCAGAAAUAGGGCCGUGACCUCAGACCUGUCAUUUCCCCAUCCGUGAAAGAAGGGAGCCGAGGACAUUUGUACCCCACAGUGGCUUACAGAUCUCCAGAGCUGCAGUUCCUCAGUAGUUCCUUACACGUGGGCUCUGCCCUAUGGAGUGCUGUGUGUGAUCCCUGGGCUGAGCUGCUCUGCAGCCGCAUUGAAUUCAAACAACGGUACAUUCAGUUGGCCAGAGUGCAUAUUUGGACUUCAGACUCAUGGUGGUUUCCUUCUGUCCUUCUGGGCUGAUUACCACGCAUUCCUUUCUUUUAAUUUCAGCCCUCUGCAGUUCUGGGAAAAGGUCCUUGAUUAAGUACUGAGAAACCGGUCUAUUUGCGAGUCUAAUUUGGUUGCUUCAGUUACAUUACUGUAUGCUAAAUAUAGGAAGGCACCAAGCAAAUCCCAGUUCCUGGGCUGAACAGGGUGUUCAAGAGCCUUGUUCACAUUUAAACUGCGUGGCUCGGGCCUCUGUUUAAUUAGAGCUAACGAGCCAACUUCUCACAUGUUGUAAAUCAGCACGUCUACGUUGAUUUAUGGGCGAGUAGCAGUUCUGUACAGCUAAAAAUGAGCCCAGUGCCCAACUCCGGGCUUCUUCCUUCUAGCUGAGGGCCCUGGAGAUGAAUGGCAUGUUGUGCUGGCAGGUUUAGACGUCCCAGAGAGACAGCAGAGUGCUUUGGUCUCACAGUUGAUGUCUGAGAACCUAGAGAUCAGCACAUGGAAGGGGUUUGAAGCCUGAAAGCUGAUCUUGUGGUUUGCUGCAGACUGCGUGUUGCAUUCUGUGCUAUUCCUUGUGCUUGUUUUUGUUGGUUUUUGUUUUUUGGUUUUUGGUUUUUUUUGUGAUCCUGAAAUCCACAGCAGAUAAUGAGGAAGUCUGCUUGUCUUCUAAGCAUGCGCCUGCAGCCUUGGCCUUGCGGGGGACUUCAGACUCCUGUGUAAUCAUGCAGAACUACAUCUUCUUUCUGUUCAGCAGGUGGGGAAAAAAAAAAAAAAAAAAAAAAGCACCAAAAAGCAAAUAGCAAGCCACAGCAUUUUAAGUGCAUGUCGCACUUGUAAUAGGUGAGAGACUGAUUGUGCUGGAGACAAGUCUUAUCUGUGGCACAGCUACUGCGUAUCUCAGGGAACAGCUUCUCCUACAGGGCCUCGGUGGCAGCAAGCCAUGGCCCUGGCCUGGGCGACCACUGGUGGGGCUGAGCUGCUCUGUGCCCUUCCAUCCCCUGCCUGCUGGCCAAGCUGCACCCAGCUUGGGGCCCACCACCACGGCACGUGUGGGCUUGCAUUGGUGUGUUUGUCUGGAUGAAAGAUGGUGCAAAUUCUCAUCCAGCUGAGCUGCUGGCUGCAGGGUUUGCAGCAGGCUUUCUCCCUUUGCUCACCGCUCAGUGCUGCUGCCUUGUAUUUGGAGAGCAGCUCGUGGGGAACCAUGAAGCCAGCUCUGACUGAAUCCUGUUUUCCUUUUUUUGUGUGUGUGUACCUUGAGGCUAUCCUUGCAUUCCUCGCAGCUGGUGGCUGCUCUGGUUCCCUGAAUCUCAUUCAGAGCCCCGCACCUACAAGCCAGAUACUUGUCAUCUCUGAAAGAUGUUUGUUUCCGUGGAAGAAUAGCAGUGAGAUGACUGUCUGCUCCCUUCACAGUCCACCAGGCUGGGAGAGCUCCAAGUAUCCAGUCAGCCCUUGGAAUUCAUAUUGCAUGAAGAUAAAGUAGCCAAAAAUAGUUUCCGUGGACUGGAUGGUUCUGAAGCUUUCUGUGUUUAUCUAACAAAAAUGUUAGGAAGUACAGUAGGUCAUGCACUAAACUGAGCAAAAUCAUGGGGCACAUCUGAGCUCGUGAAGAUGAGCUUAUCAUUUAUUUAUUUGAUUUACUUAACCUCUCUCUGCUUGAAAAUUGCCUGCAGUUUUCAUGCAUUGCCGUUACGCUUAUUUGAUAAAAGGAAAAACCAACGCAGCUGUACCCUGAGGAAUUAGAGAUGCUGAAAGAGGCUAUUGGGGAGGGGAGGAGGGAGAGGCAGGCUUGCACAGCUCUGCCAGAGCCUUAUUUUUUCCUGCCUUCCAAGAACAGGGCUGUGUUCCAUCCCCUGCCGCCCCCUCAGCUGGUGCUGGGAAGAGUAGCUGUGUUUAGCUCACUGUUCCUGGAAGUCACUGAGACACCGAGCAUCGAGAAACCAGCAUUUUCUGUAGCAGGAUCUGUCUGAAUGGAAAAGAUGAGCUGAUCUUCAGCCCUUGUUUGCUCGCCUGAGUUAACCCUCACCGCUCCAGAAGAGGCUGUGCAUGCUUUAGCUGUGAUCUUUUGGAAGGAAACAAAGGCCGCCUCCAUUGCAGCCAGGUGUUUGGAAGCCAGCCUGGCAGGUGAUGUGACAUAGUACCCUCGAUGUAACCCACGUUCAAUAGAUUUAUGCUGCAACCACCUUCUGUUCUUUAAUCCUGCCUUGCAGAGCUGAAGCAGCAGCAGCUUUUCAGCCAGCUGACUGCGCUGGUGGCCGCCUCCUGCCCAGGCUGAGGGAGGUGGCUUCUGGUAUUCCAGGAACUUCCCAGCCACAAGCUCCCCAAAAUCAUCCUGAUUAAAGCAUACCAUGACAGGGUAAUUGCAGCAUUGUGCUGGUGCACAAAAUGUUUGUCACUGUGCGCUCCUAGUGCCACAUGAAGACUCCAUGAGCCAUAGGGCAAAGUCCCUUCCAUUCAAUGAAAUCAUUUACGUGGGGGUCUGCGUUUGUUUUAUGGAUAGGAGGAGGAGCUUGCAGUUAAUAAUCUUGUAAUUGGCUAUAUUGGCUUCUGGUUCUUGCUACGUGGUUGCAAUUGAGCACUGUUCUCUGGUGCCUCAGUGUAGUGUGGGAUGCAGUGACACUGUGGGGCUCCCAUGCAGCGCUCUCUGGGAACACCAACUGUUACUGGGACGCUGGAAACACCCUGGCUCCUUUGCUUCUUUCUUCAGGCUGACUCAAAGCUGUUACUUGACAGCUGUGACUGUCUCAGCCAUAGCCCCAGUGCCAAAUUUAAUGAGUCUGAUGGUUCAUGGGACCCAGAAAGCAGCUUAAAGUGACCAGAACGUAACAGGUGUGGAUAUUUCUGUUGCUUUUUCCAUGGGUGCAGUUAGCCAAAGAGUAGUCUACGGGUCUUUCUGCUGUGAUAGUUUUGGCUUUCCCUACUCAAGAGAGGAAGAAAAUCCCUUCCUUUCCCUCUGUGCCUCAAAUUGACUUGAAUUUCCACUUUAUAUGGGUCAUCAGGCUGCUUUUGGUCAGGCUGGAGGUUUUACAUUUGCAGUCCAAUUUGGAGGAGGUCUGCUUCCCAAUUUCAGCUCCUCAGUACGUUCAUCCAGGAAAGAAGUGAAACCCAUUGUGAAUGACAGUGGAGGCAUCUGUCAGGGUAAACACAAAGGAGGAGAGAAUGAGUGGGGCUUGGGUAACCCAGGAUGUCAAAUUCUCUGUUUGUAAGCUGCUGCUGGGUGCUGCACACAAUGAGCUGGCUUGAUAAGAUGGUUUUUGUGCCUAGCCAUAGUCUGUGGAAAUUACUGAUUCUCUGGGCACGGGAGGUGAAGGAAGAAGGGCUGAAGCACUGGGAUCUUACAAGCCCAUGCUCUGCCCCCAUCCUGCCCCCAAAGGAGUUCACAGCUGCUCAACUCCAGACUGCAGCAAAGAGGCAGCAGUGUGCAACGCCUAUCCAGGAGCGUGCCCUCUUGGGAGGCAGCUGAGCGAACGACGCUCCCUGUCUUCCCUUCUCUUCCAUGGAAGCACUACAACUUGCCUGCUUGCCCGGAUAAACAACAGCAGGGAGGUUUUCUGACUCAAGCGUGUUUUCUGCAGAAGCGCAGUGCUGUGGUGCCAGAGGCUGCCCACCACCUCUGCUGUGUUCAGCCGUGCUGAAGGUGCUGCCACUCGCGGUUCUCUGCUAGCGCUGCUCAGCCCUUCUCUUGCGUGUGGUCUCAUUUUGGUUUGUGCAGAUUCUUGCUGCAGCGUGGGAAGUUGCCAGAGCAGUGAUGUUCGUGCUGCUGACGAGCCUGUAAAAGUUUUUGUUUGACUGCCUCAGUUCUUGGAAUUGAUCUAGGCCAAGCAGCAUCUUGAAAAACAGUAACUAGAAAAAUACUCUUCCAUCUAAUGCUUUGCUAUUAGCACAGGUUCAAAGGGAAAACCAGAGCCACUGCAAAAGAGUGCAGGCAUCCUGUGCGGUGAGGAGAUGUCAGCAGCUGAGUCAGGCUCACAGAACAUGGUUUAAACAAAAGCCCUGCUGGACACAGCCUUGGCCUUGUACUGUGCCCAUAAGAUGGGAGAGUGCUUGCAGGGGGCAGAGUGACUAACUAAUGCUUACCAAGCGUGAUACCAAGCUUCUGCCCUUGCACUGUGGCCUUACAGAUAAACACAUACAGGAACAUAAUAUCAUUGUCCUAUUUCUAAGUAACUGACUGAUGGCAGCAAAAUCAGGAGGUGCAGCAAAGGUCUCAUUGACCUUUGAUAGCCAUCUCAAAAUCUGGCAAAGCCUUCCUGCUAACUGGUUUUCCAACAGCCUCGAGUUUUUAUAGGUGAGGAAUGAGAACUUGCCUUGAUUUGGGUUUUUAUGAUAAAAAUAUUACUGCUAUUACUAGAAGCAUCAGGAUCAGGCUGCCUGCCCCUCGGCAUGCAGCUGUUCUUCCUAGGCUUGGGGCCCUAGGACAUUAGGUCACAUGUGCUGUGAUGUUUGUCCUAGAAAUACCAGCCACGAAGCUUCAAGUGCUCAUUAUUAUUUCCAUUACAGAGCCAUUUAGCAUUCUGCGGUCUGGAGUGCAUUUAACAUUGCAGGCAUAUACUGUCCAGCAGCCCACACCUAGAAGCCUUGCAUUCAAUACCAGGGAGGCAGGCACAGGGAGAGGAGAGACCAGGAGCCUGGGGAUGUGCAGUGCUUUGUCCCAAGAUAGCCAGCCGGUCGGGGCAGAAAUGCAAACAGACUCUGGGGCUUCUGAGUCUCAGCCAGCACCUUUGCUGCACCGCAGCUGGGGGUAAAAGUCAGCAAUGGAUGGUGUGGUCACUUGGGGCUCAUAACCCAAACCAACAGCAUGACAGAUUUGUAGCUGAAAGGUGGUGUGGUAUUUGCAUUGUGCACACUGAGGACUCUGAAACAGUGCUUGAAAUGCAGUUUAGUUAUUCUUCAAACAGACAAACCCUCUGGGUUGAAGCAUGAGGCUUUUCUGGGAAGAGCAGAGCAGUCCCUCCUUAGGAUCGCAUUUUCUGUACCUGCGUUUCCCUAACUCAUGCCUUGUUCUUGGUGGCUUCAUGGCUUUUGAUACGGAGCAAUUGGGCCAGGACCCUUCCUGAGUGUGCAGUGGGAUUUUUUGAAGGCCCGUAUGUGCUUCCAGUUUGCAUGCAUGCCAGCCUUGUCCAUCUGGAGACAGUGCCUCUUUCUCAGCUCAUCGUAAACAGCUACAGCAUGUGUUCAGGAGCAAUGUAGUAGGCAUGGCUGUGUCUCCAGGGAGCAGCGGGUGGGAGCAUGGAAGCCCAGCUGAUGUGUGUUUUGUGCAGUAGAAAUUUCCAGAAGCGUCCUGAGGUGCUUUUGCCCCAGGUGCUGUAUGGACACGGGCAGUGCUGGGCUCUGCCCAGGUACUGGGGGGAGGCAGUGCGAGUGCUGGCACUGCUUAGGCCUGCAUUCCUAGUAGGGAGCUGGUCCUGGAUGGCUCACAGAGGGCCGUGUUGUCAUAUUCCAUCUGCCUGCCAUAGGGCUCCAGGUGUUUUUUCUGUGGUGGCCCUUAUACCAAUGAAUGGAGACCCCAGUAUGUGCCCUUCAGCUCCGGUGGCUGCUGAGAACUCAGAACGGAGGACUGCCUCUUUCCCUCAGCACAGUACUGCUUGUGUUUCUCUGCUCUCUCAAGCCCUGCAUCAUUUGAUUUACCUGUACCUUCCUCAUCACUCCUAAGUGACUCUUUGUGAUCUUUCUCCAUUCUCUCUCUCCCCACCUCGCUCUUCUUUCAAGCUUGCCUUGCUUGACCUGGCUUCUUUGCCCUGCUGUUGUUUACCUCCGUCUGCCCCUGGCCAGCCCACUUGACCACACACCGCCUCUUCCCUUCUUACUGCCACCACCUUUGCCCUCCUUUCCUUCUCAGAUUUUCUCCUCUCUGCUUUUUAGCUGGUUCCUCUGUGGUUUUCAAACACUGAGGUCCCCACUCUCUCCAAAAGAAGAACAAAUAGACUAAACAAGAGGUUUCUGCCAGGUCCUUGCUGCGCUCUCGAUAAGCUCAAUGCUUCUGUAGCUCCUCGCUCUCUCAGCUCGGGCAGGCAGCCCAGCAUCCCCCCUCCCACGCGCUGAGCUCACAGGGAGCUGUCACACUUUAUUCUAAGAAAUCAGCUAAUGUACAGUACUCAGCAGAGGCACCCCUCCCCUGGGAGGAUCAGCAGAAUUAGGAUGUGCAGCGAGCUAUCUUGGGGAUUGCACAAUCUUAUCACCUCCUCCAGGGUGCUGGGGAGGGGCGAGAACCGUGCGCACUGAGUCACACUUCCCCUGCGAUGGCUGCAGGUUUCCUGACUCACUUCCUCCCAGGACUUCUGUUUCCUUACUUCUCUACCCCAACAUCUCAAGCAAAGAAGUGUGGCAGAGAUGGAGCAGUCAAGGCAGCUGUGGCCCUGAGCUGCCUGAGCUCCAUGCCACUUGUCCUGUUUUGGGUUGAAUGUGAUGCGUCACAGCAGCUGGACACAGAGGAGCUGCUUGGUGCUGAGGGGGCUGAGAAUUUCGUCUGGCUAUGUGGCCAUUUGGUGUGGUGUGAGAAAUAGCCCCCUGCCCAUGCCUACAAAUGAAGUGACACGAGUGGGGCCCCCGGGUAACGCGUGGCCUGCUCCUGUGCUGCCCAAGUGCGGGAUGCAGCGCAGGGAUGGGAGCUGGGAGAGCGUAAGUAGGCACAGCAUAGCUCCUGCCCUGCGGCCAGCUGCCUGCUGAAGGCAGACUUUUCAGUGGUCAUUAGUGUCUUGAGAAGUGUUUCUGCCUCCCUGAAGGUUCCUACUGUGUUUUGUUUGAGCCUCUGCCUUGAUCAUUCUUUCCCACGAUGAGAUAAGAGUCUAUGAUUUUCUUUUCUUUUCCAGAAAAGAUGAUUCCCAACCCUUGUAGUGACAGGGGAGAGCCUGGAAAGGAUGACUUCCUCCAGACUCAGCAGCCUAAGGGCCAAAAGCAGCCCCUGCAGCCACUCCGCCCUGACAGCCCUUCAGCCGAUUGAUUCCCAAGACCUGGCACAGGGUUCAGCACACUCUGAUGAGCCCUGUGCCACUCACCUGGAUGGAGCAGGAGGGCCCUGCUGAGUUACUGGAACAGCUGUCUCUUCAAUACCAGGAAGUUAGCUUUUCUGCAUCGUAGCCUGAUUUUAGGCAGUGCUGUGUGACAUAAAUUAACUUCACGUUGCUAGUUAUCCCCAAGGCUCAAUUCAUUCAAGCCUUUAUGUUAGAGAAAGUGUCUGCAUGAGGCCACAUGAAGUCCUGUGUAUCUCCCCAGUGACCCCACAGGCAGUGCAUGCUUCUGGGCCACACCGCCAGCGAGCUGCAGCCUGGCCUGGUGUCGUGCUGCAUGCAGGGCCCAGCAGCUGGCAGGCCCUGGCAUGGCACCAGGCAGCACCCCUGGGCCUGCACUCAACACAUCACCCGUCCUGCUCACCAGAGGGCCAGCAGAAGGAAGCGGGCCUCUCCCUGGUGUUCAGUGGGACUUCCUGGAAGCACUACAAGGAGCUUCCAAGAGUUGAAACAUGACACACGGUUCUGUGCAUGUGUGUUAAGAGUCUGGCUGAAAGACAGAGGGAGCGUGGCUCCACGGGCCUCAAUGAGCCUCCCCAUCUCAGCUCUGCCAUGCAGCGUUGGCUUGGCUGGGCUUGGAUGGGGUGUCCCAGGAGCUGGACACAGGCUGGUUCUUUGGGAAGCAUGUCUUGCUGUGUGGCAUAGGGUGAGCAGGCUCUGCUGGGGAGCAAGUAGCUUGCAUUCUCUGCUUCACAAAUUAAUGCUUUACUAGGAAUGAAGGACCUCGAGUCUGCCCUUCUGACAGCAAAGAUGAUGGAAAGGUCUUUUUUUUCAUAUUUUUUUUUCCACUAGCAGAAGCAUAUGCUGCUCAUCUCAUUCCUACUGAUAGCCCAGGAAUGCUGCAUCCCAGCAGCGAUGGCCCUGUGCCUCACCCAGCAGAUAACAGCCCUGUUCUGCACUCGGAUACGGACGCAUAAAGCCAGCAGCAGUACUCAUGCAAAAAUCAUGAGAUUAAGCACCAGUUUGAGAAUCCUGCAAACAGGGAAGGUAUGGAAAGUCCCCAGCCUUAAACUUUCAAAAGGGAAGAAGAGGGGAGCCUGCAGCCCAGCCGUGUGCGGAGGGGUCUGGGACUGCUGGAAAAGAGGGAGGUGGGCCUGGCAGUCUGGGCAGCAGGGGGAUAGGAGGGCACCACUGGGGAUUAGCUCAGCAAGUGUCAGGUUUGCUGCUGUCAAAGAGAAGCAUUGUGAAAGUGGUCAGAUCUUAACUCUGAGCAUGUGAGAAGGCUGGCAUCUGCUCUCGGAAACACGAGGCAGCUGAUUACCAGCCCUGGUUUUUCUUUUGCGUGUUAUGUGACUACAUUUUUCCAUUUCUUCUUGACCUCUAUUCAUUUACCUGAAUUCUUUGGCCUUUAAACAAAGAAGCCAUGAGAUAUAAUAGAGUAUUGAAUUUAUAUCAGAGGUGGCAAAAUCUUGCAGCAACUGCUCCUGCUGCAUCCUUAAGAGCCUCUUUAGCAGGAGAAGCCUGCCCUGGCAGCACCAUUGUGCCCCAGGGCAGCUUGUGGCUGGGAAAGCUAAGGAAUGGUUAUAUGUGCCCAAGGCUUUGUGAGCUCACCUGGGGAAGCCACCAGUUUGACUGUGGCGGGUUCAGAGGGGUGGACAUUUCCUAAUAACAAGAGGCCUCAUUCUUCCUGCUAUUCUGAAAUCCUGUGUGUCUGAGCCCUGUCCUGGAGUGCUGGGAGAUUUUCUCACUGUCUCUCUGAGGAUUUUCUCCAAAUAUACCUGUUGGUUCCAAAGCAGAUUUAUAGUCUUGUCUCAUGUGUGUGGAAAGAGUCCUCGCUUGGCAGAUCUUGCUAUCUAAAUAACGCAAGAUAAAACCACAAAAGAUAAAGCACAGUACAAGUGGAUGGAAAGGUUAGUGAAAGGGCAAUUCAGGAAGAAAACAGCUCAGACACACUGAACUCUAUUUUCUUUCCACUGGAAGGGCUGGAGUUGGUACUGCGGGAAGAGGGCCAUCCUUGGAGUCUUGUGGUGAGAGCAGCUCUGGGCACAGCAGAGCCCUCUGCCUCGCUGCUUCCGCGCUGCAGUCUGCUCGGCCUGCAAGGGGAAGGUCUGUGCAACAAACAAAAGGCAGCUUUGACGUCAAAACCUGGGACCGUUGCCCUGGCACUGGGAGGUGGAGCGCAGGAAGGAAUCCGCCGCUAAUAGGCUCUGGACUGGAGUGCACUUUGGCAGAGGGACAGCUACUACCCCUUCUUUCCAGGAAUAAUACUGUUUAUUUCUAUCUCACUCUCUCUGGCUAAAGUUACCCUACUCAGGUUUCGCUUCACCUGUCUCCACCAUAGAAUCAUCAGAGCCAGGAAAAUUCCAGUCUGCAGACUCCCCAUCUUCCAUACCCCCUUCCCCGAAGAGCUGCACUGCCUACUUUUUCUGUUUCCUUGCUUUGACAUGUUUGCAACCACAGCUUUCUCUUGCUGAAGGGUUUGGUGGUACCAUUUAAUAAAUAAGCGCGUGCAUUUUGCUCUGUAUGUGCACACACGUGUAGCACCUUGCUCCUGCCUGCCCAGGAGCACUGACCUCUGCAGCUCUGUGUGCACGGAGCUCCCAGCAGCAGGACAUAUCUCUGCCUUGCGCAAAUGGCUCCGUCCUGCAGACAAAAGCGUUGUUCUGGGAAGUUUCAAAAUGUUGCAACGCAACACAGCAACAACCUGAAGUUCAGUGGAUCUGUUACGUGGUUUUGAUUGGCUCUGGUUUUGUUUAAAAAAAAAAAAGGCACUAUUUUUACAUCAGUUUCAGGUUGCCAGCCUUACUUGGGCAAACUCUAGACUAAACCUUUAGUAAACUGCCCCAUAUUUUCCUGUUUUAUUCAUCUUUCCUAGCUGUGCAGGUUGGGUCAGGCAAUAUUUGCCCCCUGCGCAGUGGCCCUGCUCAGCACCACUGCAUUCUGUGCAACCUUGGUGUGCUGCUUCCCAUCUUCUGCACAGGAUGACAAAGGCCUCUCGGGUUCAGCAGCAUUUGGCUGUAUGUGAGCCAGGAGGAGAUGAAAGGACCUCGAUGAGAAGCAUUGGAAAGCUUUACUCGGUAAAUCAAAUGCAGGUUUGUCUCAGUCUGAUAAGUUGUAAUCCCUGAUCACUGUUCUUCAGGUUGGCAGCAGGAAGCAGUCCAUAGAGGAGCAUUCCCAGCUCUGCACCAAGCACUGCUGCUGCUCAGACGUGGAGCUGUGGGCUCACAGCAGCUCUCAACACCUCUGAGAUUUAAGAUUAUUAAAGUGCGUUGCCACCGUUUUAUAUCCUCAUGUGAUGUGAAUGAGAAGUACUGAAAAUAGAUCUAAGAGGCAUGACAGUAGUAAGGAUGUAAAAGGAGAGCUUUUGGCUCCUCUGAGUUUUGAUAUUUUUGAGUUAAAUUCACCCCUUUCAAAUACUGCAGUUUCUUUUUUCCAUUCAGGGUCAGUUACUCCAGAUUCUCCCUUUUCUGACAGGAGUCCAUUCGCUAUGCUGGCAGUCAUUCACUUCCCCUCCCUCCUCAGAAGUCAAGUGUUAAAAUCAUGUAGAUUAUCUACGUCAAAUAAAAAGUUUAAGCAGAGUUCAUCAGCUCCUCAGGGGUGGUGGUUAGUUUUGUUUCUUCCCCUAGCUCCUAGUACAUGCCUGUUGCUCUCAUCUCAUGGCAUGCACUUGAGGAUCUGCAGCUUUUCCAGCUUGGUUCAGAGCUGUCUCCACUUAUCUGUACUUCCCCAAUCGAAAUUCCUCACUGUGUACGUGUUGCAAGAGUUUCUUUGUGUGUCAUUUUACACAGAAGCCAGAUCCUGAGAAGCAGCAAAAGACUUCUCCUUUAAGAACGCGUUUCCUCUUCCAAUCAGCUGCCCCUGCUGCGUGGUCAGGGCUGGCAGUGGGUCUUUCUGCUCUGUGCUGCUCUGAGUUCCUGGCGGAGCCUGGCUGCUGGCUGGUGGGAGUGCAAGGAAGGCAAUGGGAGGGACCAUCCUGCCAAAAAGCUGGUGGCAGAUCAGAGCGGAGAAAAAUGGCUUAGGCUGGAGGGGAACUUGACGAUCAUCUGGUUUCAGCCCCGCUGUUGUGGGUGGCAUGGCCAGCCACUAGAAUGGGCUGUCCAGGAUCCCACCCAACCUGGUCUUGAAUGCAUCCAGAGAUGGGGCGUCUGCACCCUCUCCAGGCAAGCUGUUCCAGCACCUCACCCCCCUCUGAGUAAACAAUUUCUUCCUAACAUCUAACCUAAAUGUCCCACCUUUUAGCUUAAAGCUGUUCCCCCUUGUCCUAUCACUAUCAGACUGUGCAAGAAGGAGUUCUUGGAUCCAGUUUUACUUCUCCGGCCUUCCUAAGAAAGGGAGGAGAAGGAACAUAACUUUCCAGCAUUGCACUGUUCCAGCUGCUGUUCCAGAUAGACACUGGCUCAACGUUUCCAUGUUGAGCAACAACAAAGAUGCUGCAGGCUGGACCUAAAUCAUCUUAAUGCUUGUACUGUGCUUUCUCACUCUUUUUACCACUGUGUUUUAACGAUGGCUUACAUUACAUUGUUUCCUAGAGCUGUUGUCACCUCUUUCAGCUACUUGUGGGAAGAGAAGGGACCACUCUGACAUGUCAGCAGGGGCGGAAGGCAAAGUGGGGCACUGGAGGCACGGGAGGGAAUUGAAAGAUGAGCACACAACUGAGUGUUCCUGAUAAACUGAUUGGCAGGGAAUUAAUUAGCACUGGCAUGCUGUCAUCACUGAGCAUUGAUGCAACUCGUUUGGCUCAGGCUUUCAAGGUUUUCUGCACGUGUCUUGGCCAUAGAAACCCAGCUGGAGAGCUGAAGAUUGCUGCAGCAGAAGGGAGCUGCUGUGAUAAACUGCACGGCUGCCCAGCUUGAGAGAUGCAUCUGUGCGAUGAAGACGGGCAGUGGAGAACUUCUGAAUAUCUUGGCAAUCAAAGCCCUGUAGGGAGAGCAGCUCUGUGGGAAAAGGCCCUGCAUUUUGUUAGUGGGGCAGAGGUAGUUAGCAGCGAUGUGUAGAAUUGAGCCCUGAGAGGUGACAGGAGUGGUUUGCUGCAAAACACAGCAGUGGCUGAAGAGGUUAAAGGAGAAUGGGCUGGGCCCGUUUGGGCUGACUUUCAGUUUGGUUCUGUGUUGAAGUGCUGGGAACCCCAAAGAAAUAAAAGAAGGGAUGGAGAACAGUAAAAAGGGGAAAGAUGCUUUUUCUGCUGCACUUUUAAUUUUUUUUUUCAAUCAUGAAGAGUUCUGAAGUAAGCCAAGUGACUGGUUGUAUUUGUAGUGGCUAUUCUUUUUGAUUUAGAAAAUGUGUGUUCGUUUGUGUUGGAGCCAAAAAGCAAGGACCAAGAACUGGGGGAAACAGGAUGCUGGGGGUCCUUGUAGAAAAGGGUUAAUAGGGAGAGGGGUGCAAUAAAAAGUGGGAAGCCAGGAGCAGCUGUGAAGUCUGGAAAUCAAAUGAGGAGGCACUUUCUGUAGAAAAGGAAGAAAGUGUAGGGAGUGAAGAGUGAAAAGAGCAGUUCUGAAGGAAGAUGAGAGUGGGAUAUGGCCUGAAUAAAACAGAAGAAAAGAAGGCAGCAGAAGUGUGCACAUUGGUAUGUUUUUUACAUUUAAUUCUCUAUUCAGUUGUAUUUCCCUGGCACCAGGUAAUGUCGGACAGCUUACUCCUCUCCAUGCCUUACACUGCAUCCAAAUGCUCAGGUAUUUUUGAAAGCUGCCAGGCGUGCAGCACAGCUGGGUAACCGUGCUGUGACCUCGGCGAAUGCUCACAGCACCUCUCUGUCCUUGGCAGGGCUGCUCAGGGUGAGAGCAGCUCCAUCCUCCGUGCCGGGGGCCAAUUUUAAUCUGGCUUUCAGGAACUUGGGGGUGAUUCCAAUAGCCUGUUGCAGACCUGCACUUCCGUCCCUAAAUGCAUCCUCUCUGACACCUCCACCGUGCAGGGCAUCGGUAAUGCCUCAGUUUAAUCACCAUCCUGAAAUUUGGGUGCUCUUCACAGUUUGAUGGCUGCAGAAGCAGUGUCCAGGAUGAAGAAGGAAGGAAUUCACAUCGUGUGCAGCUCAUCGGCUGUUUCCUGAGAACACGUGCAGGCUGGAGUGGACACUUUGCAGUUGUCUCAUAGGCAAGACAGAGCAGUAAUGAGAAGGAGUUAAGGACAGCCAUUUCCCAGAGCUGAGUACAGCUGCAUGUGCAAAUUGGCAGCAGUGAUAGUGUUAAGAGGUCAGUAUCUGAAGGAAGAGUUACUCGCUUCAUUUGUGCAGUUUUGCAUCCUGGAGGAUGGAAUCAUAUCCAUUUUAUUUUUGCUGCUGGGACUCAAAACUUCCCUGUUUCUGCUAGGAAAACUGGGGUUUCUAAACGGAAAGAAAAAAUGGUUUUCGUGGAGUGCUUCCUGCACCUGUCUUCUCUCAUGUCAGUAAAACCACCUCAUCUGUUCUGCCUGAAUAUGAGUGAAUUUAACUGUGGUGUCUGUAACUUAAUUGUUGAAGCUGUAGCAGCUGUAACUUAAAGAACAGAAUUCAAACACCUUCUACGGAGCACUAUGACUAUUAUAAAUGCAUUUAUAUCUCAUAUGCUAAUAUAUGCAACAAGUAGGUUUCUGCCAGGUUCAUUGUAGUUUGGUGAGGUGGCCCUGCUGCCAUUUUCUGCCGAGAACUGUCCUUAAAGCGAUGCCCAGCUCAUGUGAUGUCCUCCUGCUGCUCGUUUCCACUUCCACAAUUUUGGUGCAGUCUGAAGGGGUUCAGCAUUUGAUUAACUCUUCCUGUAGUGGUGUCUGGGGAGAGUUUGGGAUCUGUUAUUAUAGUCCCUGUUUUAGAGGUGAUUACAUACGGAGGCAGCUUGGAAUUUAACCAGAGGUAAAUAAGGAAGGAGCGAAGAUAACUUGGCAUGUAGGUGGGAUGAGGAGGAGUGCCACCUGUCCACCCCCUCCCAAGGCAUUGCAAAGCUCAGAGAAACUGUCUGCAACUCGUCAUCUAGGGUAGCGUUGUCACCACUUUCGAUGUAACGUAACUCAAAGCUUGCCAUCAGUAAGCUUCCUCUUGUUAUUCAUCUUCCAUGAAUCGUAGCAGUGAUCCAUGGAAACCAACUUGUGAGGUCUGUGGCUUGAAAGACGGCUUGAUGAUGCCACUACUGACAUCCAUGUGCGUUUUGUCACAUCUUUUCUUCCCUCCCUGUGUCAGAAAGGGGCUUGGACCUGAGGGCAGUCGGGUCUGCUCUGCAGUGUGGUCAACGCGGGGUCAACGUCAGUGCCGGUUUUUCUAGAGGCAGCAUUGGUGGAACUUCAGCAUCAGCUCGUGUCCUUCUUACCCAGCAUGCUCUGACCUUCAGAGAUGCCUCAGGUGAAUUUUUGCUGCUUGUUCUCUACUUGGCUUUGCAGUUGUUCCUAGUGGAAGAGUGUGACCUAGCUGUUGGCCAGUGUCAGGCUCGCAGUCCAUUUCUGACCCCAUGGCCAUUGCAAACAGAGGAAGGUCACCAAAUAGACCUUGGAGUUCAGGGGUGGGGAGAGAAGGACAAGAUCGCCUUUUGGAUGCUUUGUGAGCUUGCUGGCCCACUUUUACAACCCGUGGCACAGGGUGUGUAGUACACAGCGUUCCAGCACGCUGAGGCUUCCAGAUAAACUGUGCUGAUAAGCCAUGCCAGUGGGUUUUUUGGCUCCUGUGGAAAAGACAGCAUUGCACAUGACUUGCUUACAGCAGCUUCUGCCUGGCUAUUUAAAGUAGCCCAGUGGCGUAGUAGCCCUAGGUAAGUGAUCCAUAAAAAUCAUAGCAAAAAAUUGGAACUCUGUUAACGAUUGGGAUUCUUCAGCACAGAUCAGUGUGAGUAGCUCCCUGCAUAUGCCCAGCUUCCCAGGCACCAGGGGCUCAGGGCAGUGUGUUCUGGGAACAUCGUAAUGGCCAGAUUUUAAUGGUUUCUUCUUUUUCCUCUUUCCUUUAAUAAAUUUAUUUAUUAAUUUCCUUUAAUAAAUACACAAGUUUUAAAAGGCUAUGAAGAAGGAUGCACAGUGACACUGAAUGCCACCUCUCCUCCAAAAGCCCUCUCUAAUGUGUUUAAACAAUAGUAAAUAUUGUUCAUUGCGACUGUUUAAUACUUGGUUUAAGAUUGCGAAGGUGAAAGUCCAUAGUAGCCUUCCUGUGCUACCCACAUGUUCUUCUUUGACCUUGUAGAAGUCAAAUAAACACACUGUGUAGUGUGACCUUGUGGACAGGACAGGAAAAACUGCAAAUGGUGCAAGAUUGUCACCUUUCAUCACAGUGCCCAAGAAUGAGGGUAAAAUGUGUGCCAUCAGAGCAGGGAAACCCAGUUAGCUUAUUUGCUUUCUUUCACCACCUAGUUCUCGUCCACCAUGGUCUGUGUUUUCUGGCUGUCAUUUUCCAAUCUGAGAGCUUCCUUCUGAAAACCCUCAGCCUGUCCAUGGCCAACUGCUGGGGAGCAGCCAGACUGGGUGCCAUGUUCUUUCUCCAUCACCUUGGCACAACUUUCCUGAAGCAAGAGAAAUUGCACGUGAUUAGCCAAGAAAAUAACUUGCUGCCAGACGUGCCAGCCUCCCACAGCAGACAUCUAUUCCUUAGAAAUGAAUUCCAUAGUUACUCAGGGGUGGGAUGUACCUGCAGCUCCUCAGGGUGGAAUCAGGAGCCUGGUUGACUCAUGAGGAUGCUCAAGAAGGUCACGGUGUGACAAAGCUGUUAGACACAUGGUGGCACGGCAGAACUUGCACGUGGCCAUUGUGCCCAGCACAUGAGGAGCUGGUAGCAGAGCUCGUUCCCACUGUGUUAGGCUCAGCCUCAUGUAAGAUACAGUUUUGAGGCAAACAUCCCUCUUUAUGAGUUUUGUUACUGGUGAUGCUCCUGGUAGAACAUGCAGUGAAGGAAGUUUUGGUGUGAUGCCUUGGCCCUCUUGCAGAGUCAUUCCUCAGUCUAGGAGCUGGGAUUUGUAGACAGAAACUUGUAGCUGAGAGCAAGUUCUGGGCUGGGAUCUCUGCUAUCAGCCUGCAGCUGGCCUCAUCCCUUUCUCCCUGUGCUCUCCAGAGUUAAAAAUAAGGUAAAAAUAAAUCCUUCUGGGCUUCUCAUGAGAAAGGAGAGGGGAAUGUCAGGAGCUCCAAAGGGUCUGCGCAGUGCGGCCUCCUCCCCGCCGCCCUCUUUCCUGCCCCUCCUCUGCCUCCGUCGCCCGCGGAGCGAGGCCCAGUGUUUCUAGGAAGAGCUCGGCCGAGUCAGCAGCCGCCAGUUCUGGGAAGCGUGGCCCCGGGUCCCAUGAGACGCUUCAGGGAAUUCUCGUUGCCCUUCCAAGGAUGGCAAAGAGCUCGUCCAGUGACCUGGGGCUCCCCAGCGGCAGGGGCAAGAGCUUGGAGUCACGCCACGGGGCUGGAAACAUUCCCAGAGGCAGAAGGGCCUGAAGAUUUAUGCCCCGCUCCACACUGUACUACAGUAUGUUGUUUGGCUUCUUGGGGGAGCAGGAGAAAGAGUUUGCUGCGGAGGAGAUACCAGCGGUGACCACAGGAAUUUCAAAAAGGGAUAUGGAGUUAAAGGGUCAACAUUUCCCGCCAUCAGUCAUCGGCUCCUUGGUAGAGUGAAGAGGGUGCCAAGGGCCCAGACAGGGAUUUCUGGACCCCGUAACCUCCCACAACCACAUGAUCUUGGAUAAAUGAGACGAGGAGCCAUAAAUCAGGGCUGAGGCUGCCUUGGGCUGCGUCCCACACGUUCCUCUCCCGUCCAUCGUUUGCCUGCUCUGUGCUCAGCCCUGCUCCAGGUUCUCUCCUCCCAGGGGAGCCAACAGGAACUUUUCUUCCGAACCCUGCAACGCUUCUAAGGAAAGUGCUCAGCGUGACACUGACAAAUUAAUGUUAUUUUUGCUACCCAUUUACAAGAUAAAAUGAUUCCAACCGCUGCAGGCAGCCUGGGAGGAGCGAGUUUCUCACAGCACUAUUUCACUGCAUCUUUGCCAUGCAGUUGCUGACUUGCCCUGGGUUGGCUCCCAAUUAACAGAGGUCUGAGGGGAGAAAAUUUUGAAACUAGAUAUUGGCUUCUAAGAUACUUUAAUAAGUCUCUGUAGCAACGCUGCAGGCUGCAGAUAGCGCCUGGUUUUUCUAUUUUUGAGUGUAACACUCACAGAGGGGUGGCUUUCCUGGAAGAGGAGGCAUAGCACGCCGUCUCUGGGGGCUAUUCCUUGAGUGCUGUCAGCCUUUCCCUGGAUGGAGUAGCAAGUUUUUUCUUUGCUUUAACAUGUAAUGCCUUCCUAAAUUAUCAUGAAACAAACGUUUUCAUUGUGAUUCUGCUUCUAGGUUUGGUCAGAAUUUGUGGUACUGCUUUUCUACCUUCCUCUGCUCUAUUGUGUUGGUGGGGUUUUUUUUUUUCACGUGUAUUUUUCCACUGUGAAGAAAAUUCCAUCAGAUGACAGCUAGCAAAGUCUUUUCAGGCUCAAGUGUGCCUGAGGGCAUGUGGGAUUGGGAAGGGGCUUUGCUGGUCUUUAGGAGCAGUGGGGGCGGCAGCUAUUCUUGCUCCUCAUGUUAAAACCUUAAUAGAUCCGCAGGAUUAUGCUGCUGGAGUAGCUCUUCCAUCAGAGCCAUAGCAACUUCCUUGCCGGCUUUUAUUUUCUUUGUCUACUAGAUGUAUUCGGUUUCUAUGAGCAGCUAAUUAAAAUGCAGAAGAGUAGCUCUUUAUUAAGGUUUUAUUACCAUUUAAUUUGCUUUUCGGUUUUCAGUAGGAGAUCAAAAAGCUUAGCUCUUUUUUCCUAGAAAGCCAACAGAAGGCUGGCAGUGCCACGCCAGGAUAAUCUCCCUCUAACCACUUGAUGUGCUCAGUGAAGGCUAGACACAGACCUCUGCAAGGGGACAGCACGAUGUGGGUGAGUGCCAGGGACAAGAGCAUGACCCAGGCAUCUCCUGGUGCCAGCGAGCAUCCUUCCUGCCUGGAGCCUGGAUCCUGCACAAUUCUCACUCAGCUGAAGCAUCUGAAAUUCUGAAUCCAAGCCCUCCCAAAUCCACCCUCCCACAGCCCUUUCCGUAUGUGCACUGAUUCCUCCCUCGUGUGCUUGUAUACCCCAAGGACGAGUGCUCAGUGGAGACAAAUUUCUUGUCACAGCUUCUCUAGGGUCUCCCGAGUCUCUGCUGGUGCGUGGUUGAUGUGGGCACUGAUAGAAACACAUGCACAUUGCAGCUGUCUUCCUGAGACUGCCCGUAGACUCUUCACAUGGAAUCUUCCUUUCUCUCCUUACAGGUUCAGUUUAUUUUCAGUUAUCUUUCAGUGGUAAGCCUUGAGGGAUGGAGGAACAGCAUAUUUGGGUUGUCUAUAGGUACAGUGCUUUAAUGGAGUUAUUCCCUGGCCUUUUAGGGUGUCCUCACUUGCCUGAACACAGCUAGAACAGCACAAGGAGCCUUUUCUUUCAUGCCUCCAUUUUUCCUUCCUUCACUGAAUAUUCUCUUUUUGGAUGCAAGCACGUGUUUAUAGUUAGAUAGCACUCCUUGUCUUUGUGACUUGUUGCUUUGCUGCAGCAAAGAUAAAGCUAGGGAAGCCAAGAAAUUCUAUACCAUGUCAAGUGAAAAAAGGAAUCUUUAUUGUUUCUCUCGUUCCAUUACUGUCACUGGCAUAAAUAGGUGCCAGUGCCACGUGAGAGCAUGCACUCAGUUGUAUGCAAUGUCAGCUGCUGCUGCUGCUCAUGUGGGUAGAACCUGCAUUUCAGAUGGUACUUGUACAGCAAUUCACUUGUCUGCUUGUGGGCUCUCGAGGAAUUCUUGCUGAAUGUAAUGUCACAUUUGCUAUUUAUUUUCCUUUUAAGAAAGCCUGCAUAUAACUUGUUUGCUAUGUGUGUCUCCCAGAGGUGAAACAAGAUGCAACUUUCCAACCCCAUAGUUUUCAAACAAGCUCUGUUCUGAUCCCUCAAAGAAACUACUGGUGAUUUAACUCUAUGAAUGUUACCUAAUCUGAGGUACCCAAUCAAGAAGGUGAUGAGCUUUCUUUUCUUAUGGGAAACCGGUAUCCUAACUCAAACAGAUUCUUCCCCUCCCUAAAUGCAUACACAUUUUGCUACAAAUCUUCCUUUAUCCUGUUAACAAAACUCCCUUUCAGUCAUUAUGCGUAGUUAUUUCCUGUCUAGCACUUGCAAGUUCCUUUGCAAGUGAUGAGCAUUGCCUGGGAUUGAGAAACUGAGCAUCCUCUGCAACUUGGCCUGGCUCUGCUUGGCACUUGGGCUAACUGAAUUAUGCCACGUGCUCUGUCAGCUCUUAGCGCAAAGCAGCUUUUGCCUUUCCUCCCUCUGGGUGCUCUCUGUGCCACAUUGUCAUGCCAGCAGUUGCAUGGAAAAUCCCACUUGCUGGAACCCAUGCAACCUGCAAGCAGACAGUGGGCACUGGCUCAGUGAGGGGCUUGGAGCAGCUGGAAAGAAAUGGGAACUCUUGAUGCACAAUGUGUGCAAAGCGUGCCUGUCUCUCUGCAGUGGCCUGUGAAUAAGUGCAAAAGGUGUGAGUCUCCCUGCUUCUUUAGCCAAAGGAAAAAUCUCUCUGAUCUGAAAUUUCCACCGUCAUUAGAGGUGGCUUUUUCUUCCAAAUUGACUCUCGGGUGGGGCUUGGGGAAAGCUCGUGCAGAUUUCUUGCUUGUCAGCAAAUGGGAAGCUGGCAAAGGUAUUCAGAGUGCAGUGUGGUUGUAUCACGAUCUUGUGUCAGUGUCUUAGUUCUCUCUUGAUACCAUAUAUCUCUCCUGGUUUGUUUGCCUUCACUCCCAUUGCAUGAUACUGCCUGGGAGAAGACUGUAGUGAACAGGGACAGGUGAGAGACUGAGGAGCAAAAAAAGAAAAGCAUCAGUGGCUUUUAUUGGUGCAUCUCAGUGUAGAGGGGAUGUUUGAGCAGCUAAAAGGCUGUGCAAACCCAACUCUGAAAGCAGUGAAUCCCAGUGAAGGGGACUGCAGAUUAAAUAUGGACAUACUCUGCAGGAGGACUGCAUGGUGCUCUGCUGAGCAGCAGCUGUGCUGUCUGCAGCUGGAGCAUCUGCUGCCAUGAGAGCAACUGCACUGUGCUCCACUUCCCUGCUGCCAGGUCUUCAUGGAGAGAGCAGCCAUGUCUGCAGUGGGCCGUCUGUGUUGAUUCCUGCUUACAAGGAAUCCCCAAUAUUUACAAAUACUUGAGAUUUUUUCUAGCUUUGAUUUGGGUAGAAUUCAUGAAUUGGGCAGUUACAUUCACUUGUGUGUGAAUUUACUCCUCUAAGUAGAAGGUUACAAGGAGACAGUGAAGAGGUCUCAGCCCCUUUCAUCUUCUGACUCAAUGAUUGUUGGCCUUUUGAGUUGUACCUACUUUGACAAGGUAGGAAUCGGCCUCUUCUCCCAGGUAACAGCAAUAGGACAAGAGAGAAUGGCCUCAAAUUGCACCAGGAGAGGUUCGGGUUGGAUAUUAGGAAUAAUUUUUUCUCCAAAAGAGUGAUGAGGCACUGGAACGGGCUGCCAGGGGAGGUGGUGGAGUCACCAAACCUGGAGGUGUUCAACAAAAAUGUAGAUAUGAUACUAAGGAAUGUGGUUUAGUGGGCAGCAUUGGUUGUAGGUGGAUGGUUGGGCUAGAUAACCUUAGAGGUCUUUUCCAUCCUUAAUGAUUCUAUGAUUCGAUGCUACUUCACCUUGCCCAGGAUCAGAGAUCAUCUGCUCAGGUGGGAGAAAGAUGUGCUCCUAUAGGCAGACAGCUCAAGGCAAUACACUGGAAAAACAUGAGCAACUGUGUCUACAUCCUGCCCGGCCUUGUUUAUGGAUUGUCUCUUUCACCUCUCUAAAUGACAUGCGAGCACUUCUGCUCUUCCAUUUCCACACUGUAGUUUGGAGGUGCUGCCUGGGAGUGAAUCUUUGUUUUGUUUGUUUUGUGGAUGGAGCUGUAUGAAGCAAUUGUGUACAUCCCUUAGUGCCUCGUGCAUCAAUAUUUAGAUUAAGGGUAAGUUCUAGCCGUGAUAAAAUUAACACCUGUGCUGCACUUGGCACGUUUACAUAAAGCCUUUAGAAAACCUUGGAUGAAAACUCUGCAGAAAGCCAAUUGCUAUAAAUAACUGUGUUGUAUCACUCCAUUUCUAUUUCUCUGAGAGGACUGAGAGUCACAGCAUGCCUGCAGCUCAGGUGAUGGGCAGCUCCCACAUCCAGGUGUGUGGGCACGGCUCCAUGUCCUGUCCGGGCACAGGCACAUACAGCAGCAUCGUUCAGUCCCAGCUGCUCCCAUGCCUACUGCCCUGCUCGUAGAGCAAAGGGUUUUUUUCUUUUCCUUUUAAGAAGUGUUCGAUCAGCAUCCUCAGAACAGCCUCCUCAGUGCUCCCACUGGGCACCGGGCGGAGGAGGGCCGGCUGUCAGCACUCGGAGUUCCUGGAAGAGCCGAAGCGCAGUGAAAUGACCCCGGGGAGCGCUGGGCCUCCCGCAGAACUGCAGCGGGGGGGUCGGCACAGCACAGCCCUGAGCCGGCUCCUGUCCUGCAGCCACACCUCGGCCACAACGGUGCCCAGGGGGGUGUCGGUGCUGCCUGCGGUACCCGCAGUGUCCUCAGUGCUGCUGGAGACCCGAAAGCCCAGCAGAGGAUGUGUGCGUGCCUUGCUUACAUUAUGGCCUUUUACUUCUGGAUUAUACUCCCAUUUGCUUGAUGCUUUCUUUCACUGGUUUACUUGCACUGUACUUGCAGGUCUGCUUUUAAGGAGCAAACCUUGAGUUGCGGAUUUCAUGACUGUGUUUUUCCCCUUGUAGAUCUCUGCUGCUCUGUGUCGCACUCAGCUUUUGGGAUUUGGGAUCACACGCACUCAGCUUUUGGGCUUGUUGUCCUCCUAUAUGCGUUCUGCUACCCACAGAGUCACUUUGAGCUCGUAUCUUCUUUUAUCAGAACCACAUGCCUUCUGCCUAGCGUUUGAGGGCAUUCAGGGAGGAGUGGGAAAAUACCACCACAGACCUUAUGGUGAGGGCCUGAGGGGAUCAGCAUUGAAUGAGAAAUCUGUUCUGCUGCAGUCUGGAAAUGAAACAGCAGUGGCAAGGAACGAUCUGGAAGUCUCUUGCUGCCCCAACUUGCUGGGCUGUGCAGCCCAAGGCACGAGUGCAGGGGAAGGGCCUCCUGUUUUGGUGCUCAGGGACACACAUGGCCCUGCUGUGUGUGAGGGAUUGCCGUGCUGCCGGAGGGCAGCAGACCUCAGAGCGUUCUGCUCCAGCUCUCUGAGCUCAGGAGCUGGCCUGCAGCAGGGGUCAGCAAGCAGGCUGGUGCUGUGCUGGCUGCUGGCCACGUGCUGGAGGCUCCUCCAUGCCCCCAUCAAAGCCCCCCUCGUACGAUGCCAUCCCUGCAGCACAGUGGCCAUGAGCUCUGUUGUGGCUUGGUGGCUUAGCUGGGCCCCGUGCCUGUGUGCCAUCAGGUGAGAGGGAAGCCAAGUCCAAGGUAUGGCACGCAGGUAGUGCUGCACCAAUCCAAGGAGGAGCAAAAUACCGCUGCAGAGGAGGAGCGCCAUGAGAGCACUCCCUUUCCAUGCUCCUGCCUGCUGCAAUGGGCUUUAGAGACACGAAAAAUAAAGUCUAUCUGCAACAGAGGCACUUGACAUUUAAAGGCAGGGAAAUGAAACUAAUCAGAUACAUUGUAUGAAGACAGCAGGAGGGAAAUGCUCGUUUGUAGCUGGUUUCUUUCCAAACGGAUCAUCUCUUGUCUCGGGUCAUGCAAGCGCAGGGUGCAGUAGGUGUUGGCCGUCAGAAGGGUGUCGCCGGGAUGUUAAUAGCAGCAGAAUCCAACUUUCCAUGAAAAGCUCAUUAGGUGCUCAGGUGUCCGGGCAGCACGAGGCAAGGUGCAGGCUGGGGGGAUGGUGGGAGGGACGGCUCAGCCCCAGCCAGCCCUGCUGGGAGGAGAAGGCCGAGGGCAGGCCUCGCGGGUGCAGGCCCAAGAGACAUCUCUGGCUCCUGGGCUUGUAGGGCCUUGGCAACGUGGUUUAUUUCUCCGUGUGAGGCUCCACGGCUGUUCCCCCAGAGACAGAAGCGGGGAUGGAGGUGGGCCGCCGUGCCUCCUGUGCCGCCCGGCUGCGCAUGCGCCAUCCCCACCCGCUCCCAUGGCGCCGGCGAGCCACCUCUGUACAGGGUGGCUUUAGGCCUGCCUGCCUUAGUGCCUACUAAGUGCACUGGUGUGGGCUUGACCUCAGCGGGGGCAGCGCCAGGAGCCAGCCCCUCUGUGUGCUGCUUUCCCCAGAACUGCUGGAGGUUGCUUCCCAGCUGCGCUGCAGGAGGCUCUUCGGACUUGGGUAGGGCCCACAUCCAUGUUGGAUACAGGAACCUUGCCCACUGCUCCUAAAGGACGCUGCCCAGCAAGAGGCUCCAGCCCAGGCUCUCAGUGCGGGCUGUGCUGGCAGAGCACUGGAAGACCCCCACCCACAGCCCCCUCCCCGGGCCUCCAUGGGCACCCGUGCCACAGAGCAUAUCCAGUGACCCAGCCUGGGCAGAUCUGAGCAUCUCCGCUGCCUCGCUGGGUACUGGGUAAGGCACAGAGGGUUGCUUUCAGCUUAAGAUAGCAAUGGAAAGUGCCCUAUAACUAGAAAAACUGGUUUAAACGAACGCAGCCAUGGCCUGUCUGUUUUGAAUUUGAUGUUGAAGAAAUGACCUACUUUCUGUGGGAGAGCUGUCAUUUUAAAGCAAACGUUAAGUUGUUACUCGGUAACUGCAUAGGGUUUGAAGCGCCUUUAAUAGUCCCACUCGGUCCUGGGCUGCUGCAUUUUGUAGCCGUCUAUGUGUGUCUUGAGGUCAGGCCGGUCACCGCGGAUGGUAAUCCUGUAUGGCUGAGAUAUUUUCUGGUGCUGUGAGAGCAGACUGCCAGCACUGGGAGCAGAAGGGAGGAACGACAUGAGCACAGCUCCUCCAGGUGCUUCUGUCAGGCACCGUGGAGGAGAUGCACGCUCAGCCCUCGUGUCCUCAGCCCUCUGCUUCAUGUGUCCCCAGCAGAUGCUUGUGGAGGCCAUGGAGAGGACACACAAAGUGCUGACAUUGCUGCCCGAAGAACAAAAGAGGAAACUUCUUAUCUGCCAGUUUUCCUUGUGCUCCCUGGAUGUGCACAUUGUUCCACCAAGAGAGACUGCAGCUGCUCUACAGCUGCAGAAAAACCAGUUGCUAGAAUUCAAACAGCAAAUUUCAUUUUAUUUUUAACCCAGACACUUUCCUAUGCAGAUGCUGAUGCCUUGUUGCUUCAGCACUGUAUGGGUUUGCUCAUAUCCCAGUGCCUUUUUUUGUUGUUGUUCAGAGCCUGGUCCUUCUUUCUGGAUAGGGAGCGAGCUGAGAAGUUUGUGUCCAUACAGAUUCCUAGCACGUUUCUUGUUGGUUAUUGACUGAACCAGGACAGAUGUUCAUCUCAGAAUGCAUGCUGAUCCCAGGGUUCAGCAGCUGGUUCUGCUUUUCCUCUGGCUUAUACCACAACAUGUACAUCUCAUUUGACUUCCUUUCCUUUUGCAUCAAAAUGCUUUCCGGAAGGUGAAAGCUACGUGAGAAAUCAGUGUUCUCUGUCGUAAGUUGAGGUGGGCUUUAAUCAUCAGCUGCAUCCAAAGGAGCGCUGCACUACUGAUUAGACCAGCCACAGGAUUGCUUAAGGGCAAGUGUGAAAAAACCCAAUUCCUUUUUACUUUGGUUUCCUGAAGUACUGCCUUUUGAAGCGUCCUCCUUCGAAAGCAAACACAGUGAAACAGCAAGGCACAGGAAAUAUUUUUAUCUCUGUAGCUGGUCAAGGUAAACCCUAUGAGGAGUGUUGACCUCCGCUAGCUAUGUCAUCUCGUAUUUGUUGGGCUGGCACAUGAGAUAACUGGCUACCUGGAAUCAGCCAGCAACACAUUCCCUUCUCAUUAACUCAUUUGUUUGUCAGUAACUUCAGGGGGAGCUUUGAGCACUUUCAGUUUCUGCUCCUGGAAGAAUUAGUGACGAUGGGUGUAGGGCUCACCAUAGGAUGUAUAGCAAGUACCAAAAGCCUUUGGGGUUUUAGAUCCACCUAAGCAACAGGCAGAAGAGCAGUGCUGUUGCUGCUGGCAGAGUGAGAAGAGAGGAGUAAGAAACAGCCUCUUUGGCAGGUGCCUCUUUCCCUUGCCCCACGUGUAAGAAGAGAUUGUUUUGGCUCUCAGGAAGAGGGUUGUCCUUGGGUUGAGGAGCUCGUUGACAGGAGUACUGCUUUUCUUUCAGAAUUUCUCUAGGAAGAGCUGUUCCAGAGGAGGUUCUCAUUAGAGAGAUGCUGGGCCCAAAGGAAAAUGUAGCCCAUGGGCCAGGCAGGAGGUGCUGGGGAUGAAGAGAGAUGGGCAGAACUGUGAACAGAGGGGAGCAGUGGCAGUGAAACACUCCACUUUGUGUCAUUGGAGUGCUCUAGCUGGAGAGGGAAAAGCUCAGCAUCUCACAGUGCACCAAAAUCAAUGGCUUUUGCAGCAGUGUUUCCCUGCUAUCUUAGCGACCAAACCCUUCCUCCCUACAAGCUCUCCGAUCCCAAGCAUGGAGAUGUUGUGACAUUUGCACACUCUGCUUGGAUCCGCUGCGUGUUCGUCCCCCGAGUCAGCAGCCUGGCAGGUCACAGCAACCCCAGAGAGUUCGGUCAGCAGGAAAAGGUUUUGCAUUUGCAGGGAAGCCUUCAAUCUCCGGUGUUCUUGGAAAGGAAGGCAAUAGAGGGGCCCCACGUUGGCCCCAGCUGCUGUCCGCUCAGCUGAUGCAGCACUCCUGCAGGGCUGUGCUCCUUCCAAAGCUGCCCACUGCCUCUCAGCUUUCAUAGUGCAGGGCUGGGGGAAGGGAGUCGAAGAAGGGUCAACUGCAGAGAGUCUGAGGAGAAGGGAAGCAUUGUAAAACCAAAGGUUUUGAAGAGAAACCAUAUUUUCAAAAUGUAGCAGAGAUUUCCAACCAAGUUCCCUGGAUGUAAUCCUAGGUCAUGUUUAGGCUUUUUCAAAUUUACAUUUUAAUCAUAAAGCUCCUUUUAUGACUUCUUAGCCAUUCCAGGCAUGUGCGAACACAUAGCAUGUACACUGUGCAACAUGUUUCUUCAGAAUAUUUGCAGGUUUGGAAGUAGUGAUUUGAACUCUGCCUCUGCAGCAUUUGGCAAUGACUGCUAUGACAUUUGCAUGAUGGGAAGAACUGUUGCCAAGUUGGGUAACUUCUGACAAGUAUAAACACAGCUCUGCCUUCUGUAAACUCGAUUUCAAACCAUAUUGCUGUUCUGAGGAAGAGAAAGUCCUGACAUUAAAGAAUAUGCUGUCCUUCUGAUCAGCUCAUAAAUCUC